GACGAACGCUGGCGGCGUGCUUAACACAUGCAAGUCGAACGGAAAGGCCCACCAUCUUUGGUGGUGGGUACUCGAGUGGCGAACGGGUGGGUAACACGUGGGUGAUCUGCCCCGCACUGUGGGAUAAGCCUGGGAAACUGGGUCUAAUACCACAUACGACCAUGGCGUAGGGGUCAUGGUGGAAAGCUUUAUUGCGGUGUGGGAUGAGCCCGCGGCCUAUCAGCUUGUUGGUGGGGUAAUGGCCUACCAAGGCGGCGACGGGUAGCCGGCCUGAGAGGGUGGACGGCCACAUUGGGACUGAGACACGGCCCAG
rnacentral:rRNA from 1 species